UUUUAGCCUGACACAGGAUAUAUAAAUGGUUUUUUUUUUUACACUACAAAUCGCCCAACUCUUUCCACAGACCAACAACAAAGUUUCCAUUAUGAAAGUCGUCUUAAUCUUUGUUGCCGUGAUUGUUGCAGUAUAUGCCGAGAACUGUACAACUGGUCCUGCAGAUUGCUCAUUUACAGUAUGUACCUCGGUCACAGGGGCGGAGCUUCACUGUGUGGAUGGUUUAUGCACGUGUACCACACCAGCCAUAGGAGUCGAAGCAUGCAGUAGUAAAUUUGAUUGUCAUGAAGGGUGCCCCCACGGACGACCCCAUUGCAUUGGUGGACGUUGUAGAUGUGCUCAUUAAAUUUGCGCAGCAAUAAAUGAUUAUCCUUAAAA